AGAGUUUGAUCCUGGCUCAGGACGCAACGCUGGCGGCGCGCUUAACACAUGCAAGUCGAACGGAGCUACAAUGGAAAGAGCCUUCGGGCAAUGGAAGCUGUAGCUUAGUGGCGGACGGGUGAGUAACACGUGAGCAACCUGCCUUUCAGAGGGGGAUAACGUUUUGAAAAGAACGCUAAUACCGCAUAACGUAUCUUUUUCGCAUGGAAGAGAUACCAAAGGAGCAAUCCGCUGAAAGAUGGGCUCGCGUCCGAUUAGCUAGUUGGUAGGGUAAAGGCCUACCAAGGCGACGAUCGGUAGCCGGACUGAGAGGUUGAACGGCCACAUUGGGACUGAGACACGGCCCAAACUCCUACGGGAGGCAGCAGUGGGGAAUAUUGCACAAUGGAGGAAACUCUGAUGCAGCGACGCCGCGUGAGGGAAGAAGGUUUUCGGAUUGUAAACCUCUGUCUUUGGUGACGAAAAUGACGGUAGCCAAGGAGGAAGCUCGGCUAACUACGUGCCAGCAGCCGCGGU
rnacentral:rRNA from 1 species